rnacentral:lncRNA from 1 species
GUUGUGUAUGUGUGCCUAAAACAUGAUCUUGCUUCCUUACUAACAGGAAAAUAAGAAGACAUUUUAGGAUGUGAAAAAGAAAAAAUAUAUACAGGCUAGGAUAUACUUGCCUGUUGUCCUGCUUUGGGCAUUUGAUUUAAUCCCCUCCAUAAUUUUAUUUGCAGUUGCCAGGAAUACCUUAUCUUUAGUGGCCCGACUCCUUUGGAUUCUCCUUGUCAAGAACCUGAGUGUCGGGAACGAAAUCUGGUCAUGCAUGUGAAAAGAGUUGGUGAGAUGGGAACAAAAAAGAGGGAGAACAGAUCAGGCCCCCAUGCAGAAAAAAAGGCCAUGUCUGAAAAAAAAUAUUCGUUUUGAUCUUACUGAUUCGCAUCGGCUUAGCCUGUGUCUUGUUCUCAAAAUGUUUGUCUAUGUCACUCCUGAUGAAACUGUUGUUCUGGAAGUAAGUAUGAAUUCACAUGGUGAAAGAAAAAGAAAGAAUAAAAAAAGGGUAAGUGCCGACAUUUUUAGUUACAGUGUUGCGUAUCCAAAAAAAAUGUUUAAAGUGGACAUUUAAGCUCCCUGCUGAAAACUAUUCAUUUCCCACUCAAAUAGAAAAAGCAUAUCCCCUGAUUGCAAAAACAUGAUUACUAGAAAUCCAUGUUCGUUUCCCACUCAAACUAUUCGUUUCCAGGUCUUGAACAGCACAUGAUUGCUAGAGAAUCAUCAAAAGGAAAACAGGGCAUAAAUUAACUGAUUGUUAGAGGUUAUCAGUAAACAUGUUCAGAGUUCUACAGCGGGCAUGCCACUCAACUACAGUGUGAACAGCAUUGUAAUCAUCUGGAGCAAAAAGGCGAGGAAAUGACAGAACAUUUCAUAUCUACAAGCAAAAUGUGUGGUUGCUGUAAACAUAAAAUAGGAUUGGAAAAUGUUGCAUGAUGGUUUGUUCAGAAGAGGAAUAAUCCCAGGUUAGCAUGUAUCAUGGGGUCAAACCUGGGACCCUAUUGUAAUUUGAUUUUGAUUAUUAAUUUUUCUGUGAGCAGAUGAAUUACAGUGUUUGUGUUGUAAUGAACACAAACUGAUCACAUUCCCCCCAUGUGGAAACACAAAAAAAGGACCAAGUAACCUGACAGAAAUUGGCCUUCUACAAAAAGGACCAAGAAACAAUCCAGAUUACAGUACUUAAGCUUGCCUACAAAACACAGAAAAAUGGUCAGCAUAUAUUUGCCUACAGAAUAAACAUAGAUGUUGCCUACGGAAACCCUCGUCCAGGUUAACUAGUGUGUGAGUUUGCCUACAUAUAUACAGGUUGAGUACUUGAGUUGCCUACAAACAAUAAAAUGGACAACGUAUAUUUGCCUACAGGACAAAUAUGCAGGCAACAGAGAUGAGGUUUGCUGUAGGCAACGUAAUUAGGCAACCAACACACAUAUGCAGGCAAACAGAGAUGAGGGUUUGCUGUAGGCAACAACUCUGACGCGAUUUUGGUUUGAAUCACCGACGAGGACUACGAUUUCACCUCCCCGCUCGCGAUUUUAGUCUCCAAUUUGCUCCCCUACCCCUCUUCCCCCGGAGAUGAUGAGAAAAAAGUGGAGGAAUAGCCGCCGGAAAACUGACCUGCAGUUCGUAGAUGUGGCAGAGACACGUUGGUUCCCGUCGGCCAGCCGCCCACGCGCGCCCCCUUCCUCUCUUCUCCCCGCCGCGCCCGCCGCG